rnacentral:rRNA from 1 species
AACGAACGCUGGCGGCAUGCCUAACACAUGCAAGUCGAACGAGACCUUCGGGUCUAGUGGCGCACGGGUGCGUAACGCGUGGGAACCUGCCCUUAGGUUCGGAAUAACUCCCCGAAAGGGGUGCUAAUACCGGAUAAUGUCUUCGGACCAAAGAUUUAUCGCCUUUGGAUGGGCCCGCGUUGGAUUAGCUAGUUGGUAGGGUAAAAGCCUACCAAGGCGACGAUCCAUAGCUGGUCUGAGAGGAUGAUCAGCCACACUGGGACUGAGACACGGCCCAGACUCCUACGGGAGGCAGCAGUGGGGAAUAUUGGACAAUGGGCGAAAGCCUGAUCCAGCAGUGCCGCGUGAGUGAUGAAGGCCUUAGGGUUGUAAAGCUCUUUUACCCGGGAUGAUAAGGACAGUACCGGGAGAAUAAGCUCCGGCAAACUCCGU